CCCCCCAGGUCCCCCCAUUGCCCCCAGUCCCCCCAACGCCCCCAUUCUCCCCACAGGUCAUCACCUUCAGCACCAGCCCUGCCCCCACCGCCACCUCCCCCGUCACCACCACCGUCCCCAGCGUCCAACCCGUGGUCAAACUGGUGUCUGCAGCCCCCACGGCCCCCAGUGCCACCGUCACGGGCAGCGUCCAGAAGUACAUCGUGGUGUCCCUUCCUCCCACCAGCGGUGACCCCAAACCCAACCCCACGAUCCCCACCACCCCGGGACCUCAGCUGUCCCCAUCCUCCGCCACCGCGUCCCCCGCGGCCACCGCCGUCACCACCCCCAAAUCAGAACCUGGGGACAGCCCCCAGCCUCCCCCCGGCCCCACUGGGGGGCCCUUUGGGAAGGCCAACGGGGCCGGCGUGGCACAGAGUCCCCAAUCCGCCCAGUGAGGGGCCCAUGGUGACCCCACGUGUCACCAAAAGUCAUUGGGGGAGUGGGGAGGGGGUCACUGUGGGGUCGUCUUGGGGUCCCUGAUGUCCCCAGGGGUCUCUGUGGGGACGUUAUGGGGUGGCCUGGGGUCCCAGGGGUCUCUAUGGGGAUGUUAAGGGUGGUCUUGGGGUCCCUGAUGUCCCCAGGGGUCUCUGUGGGGACAUUAUGGGGUGGCCUGGGGUCCCAGGUGUCUCCAAGUGCCUCCAGGGGGUCUUUAUGGGGACGGGGGGGGGGCGGCCUUGGGGUCCUUGAUGUCCCCAGGGGUCUCUGUGGGGACGUUAUGGGGUGGCCUGGGGUCCCCAGUGUCACCAAGUGCCUCCAGGGGGUCUUUAUGGGGACAUGGGGGUGACCUUGGGGACCCUGAUGUCCCCAGGGGUCUCUAUGGGGACAUUAUAGGGUGGCCUUGGGGUCUCUGAUGUCCCCACGUGUUUCUAUGGGGUCGUUAUGGGGUGAUCCAGGGAUCCUAAAGAGUCCCCAAAUGUUGUGGGGUCUCUGUGGGGUCAUUAUGGGAUGCCCCACCCCCCCUCCCCCCACAUAGCACGGUUGUGGGGCGACCCUGAGGGGUGGGGGGGUCUCCUUCUAUGUACAAAGCUGUAAAUAAUCCCAAUAAACGCUCCCAGUUCCUCCCA
rnacentral:lncRNA from 1 species